CUUCAGCUGACGAGUUCGAAAUAGGACGAAACGCAUGUUAAACUGGAU
rfam:Schistosoma mattheei strain Denwood, Zambia genome assembly, scaffold: SMTD_scaffold0000504